rnacentral:misc_RNA from 1 species
GAUGAAGAACGCAGCGAAAUGCGAUAAGUAAUGUGAAUUGCAGAAUUCAGUGAAUCAUCGAAUCUUUGAACGCACCUUGCGCCCUUUGGCCAUUCCGAAGGGCAUGCCUGUUUGAGUAUCAUGAACACCUCAACUCUUCAUGGUUUUCCAUGAUGAGCUUGGACUUUGGGGGUCUUGCUGGCCUGUGGGUCGGCUCCUCUCAAAUGAAUCAGCUUGCCGGUUUUUGGUGGGCAUCACAGGUGUGAUAACUAUCUACGCUUGUGGUUUUCCAUCAGGGUAACCUUCAGCAGUGGAGGUUCACUGGAGCUUACAAAUGUCUCUCCUCUGUGAGGACAGCCCUUUGAAUGUUUGAUCUCAAAUCAGGUAGGACUACCCGCUGAACUUAAGCAUAUCAAUAAGCGGAGGA